rnacentral:lncRNA from 1 species
GAAUUGUUAGAUGGAUUUCAUACCAGUUAUAUGCUUUUCAAGACCAUAGAUAUCUCAAAUUUCGUUUCUUUUUAUGAAAAAAUAUAUAGCUGUUAAUCUUUUUUUUUUUCGUUAUGGUUUUUUUCUUUUUCCAUGUGUACUAGGUCAGAAAAAUGAGAUGAUUGCCAUGAGGCAGAUUGUUGCUUUGAAUGUGCUAGAGGAGUAGCGUAUUUGGUGCAAUAAGCUUAUACUUGCUGGUAUUUUGUUUCUUUCAACUAUGUGAUGGUUCAAUUAUACUUGCUGGUAUUUUCUUUGUUUCUUUAACUUGAUAUUGUUUUAUGUGAUCAGUUGUGUCGUGUGGUGGAUGUUUUAUAUGAAAUAUAUCCACAUAACCAUUAUUAGGACUAAUAAUUACUUGUAUGACAUGUGAAGUGGUUUUUUAUUUUCUGUCCUCAUUGUUU